GAUAGGAAUUCCUGGUGUAGCGGUGGAAUGCGCAGAUAUCAGGAGGAACACCGAUGGCGAAGGCAGAUCUCUGGGCCGUAACUGACGCUGAGGAGCGAAAGCGUGGGGAGCGAACAGGAUUAGAUACCCUGGUAGUCCACGCCGUAAACGUUGGGCGCUAGAUGUAGGGACCUUUCCACGGUUUCUGUGUCGUAGCUAACGCAUUAAGCGCCCCGCCUGGGGAGUACGGCCGCAAGGCUAAAACUCAAAGGAAUUGACGGGGGCCCGCACAAGCGGCGGAGCAUGCGGAUUAAUUCGAUGCAACGCGAAGAACCUUACCAAGGCUUGACAUACACCGGAAACGGCCAGAGAUGGUCGCCCCCUUGUGGUCGGUGUACAGGUGGUGCAUGGUUGUCGUCAGCUCGUGUCGUGAGAUGUUGGGUUAAGUCCCGCAACGAGCGCAACCCUCGUUCUAUGUUGCCAGCGCGUUAUGGCGGGGACUCAUAGGAGACUGCCGGGGUCAACUCGGAGGAAGGUGGGGAUGACGUCAAAUCAUCAUGCCCCUUAUGUCUUGGGCUUCACGCAUGCUACAAUGGCCGGUACAAAGGGCUGCGAUACCGUAAGGUGGAGCGAAUCCCAAAAAGCCGGUCUCAGUUCGGAUUGAGGUCUGCAACUCGACCUCAUGAAGUCGGAGUCGCUAGUAAUCGCAGAUCAGCAACGCUGCGGUGAAUACGUUCCCGGGCCUUGUACACACCGCCCGUCAAGUCAUGAAAGUCGGUAACACCCGAAGC
rnacentral:rRNA from 2 species